GUACCAUGAUGUGGACACAUCCUCAAUAACUCUUUGAACCUCUCCCAAGCAUCACACGCCGACUCAUCCUCCAACUGUCGAAAACAAAUAAUCUCAUUCCAAAACUU